CCUACGGGUGGCAGCAGUGGGGGAUAUUGCACAAUGGGGGGAACCCUGAUGCAGCGACGCCGCGUGGGUGAAGAAGCGCCUCGGCGCGUAAAGCCCUGUCAGCAGGGAAGAAAAUGACGGUACCUGAAGAAGAAGCCCCGGCUAACUACGUGCCAGCAGCCGCGGUAAGACGUGGGGGGCCAGCGUUAUCCGGAUUGACUGGGUGUAAAGGGGGCGCAGGCGGCGCUGCAAGCCAGGAGUGAAAGCCCGGGGCCCAACCCCGGUACUGCUCUGGAAACUGCGUGGCUAGAGUGCAGGAGGGGCAGGCGGAAUGCCUGGUGUAGCGGUGAAAUGCGUAGAGAUCAGGAGGAACACCGGUGGCGAAGGCGGCCUGCUGGACUGCAACUGACGUUGAGGCCCGAAAGCGUGGGGAGCAAACAGGAUUAGAUACCCUGGUAGUC
rnacentral:rRNA from 1 species